rnacentral:rRNA from 1 species
AUCGAACGCUGGCGGCAGGCCUAACACAUGCAAGUCGAGCGAGCGGCGGACGGGUGAGUAAUGUAUGGGGACUGCCCGAUAGCGGGGGAUAACUACUGGAAACGGUAGCUAAUACCGCAUACUAUCGGCUAACCCAUAUGGGAUUAGCUAGUAGGUGAGGUAAGGGCUAACCUAGGCGACGAUCCCUAGCGGGACUGAGAGGAUGAUCAGCCACACGGGAAUUGAGACACGGCCAAGACUCCCGGGGGGGCAGCAGUGGGAAAUAUUGAACAAGGGGAGGAAGCCUGAUGUAUACAUGCGUCGGGUAUGAAGAGGGCCUGAGGGUUGAAAAGUAUUUUCAGUCGGGAGGCGUUACAGACAGAAGAAGCACCGCCUAACUCGGUGCCAGCAGCCGCGGAAAUU